GUGGAUUGUAUGGAAUUCCUGUUAUGUGAGUAAUGCCAAAUGAUGAGCAAAAUUGUUUAAAAGAGGUGGAGGCAUAACCAGGACCAUUAUCGGUUUUUAACUGUUUUGGAACGCCCACAGUGGCAAAAUUUUGUAAGCAAUGAGCUAUAACAUCUUUAGUUUUUUCUCCGGCAUGAAGGGAGCCCAUCAGAAAUCCGGAAGAAGUAUCAACUGUAACAUGUAAAUAUUUUAAUUUUCCAAAUUUUGACAAGUGUAUGACGUCCAUCUGCCAAAUGUGGUUAGGUAUCAGUCCUCUAGGAUUGACUCCAAGAUUAACUUGUGGUAAAAAUGUCACACAAUUUUGACAUUGUUUUAUUAUAUGUCGGGCUUGUUCUUUAGUUAUUUUAAAACGCUUUUGUAAAGUAUUAGCAUUGACAUGGAACCUUUUAUGAAAAUUUAUAGCUUUUUCUAUUGUGGAGAAAAUAUGUAUGUCAUGUGUAGAUUUAUCUGCUAAUUCAUUGCCCAAACUAAGGGCUCCAGGCAAUCAUGUAUGUGCCCUGAUAUGUCCUAUAAAGAAUGGAUCUUUUCUGUCCCAGAUUAGACUUUGUAUAGUGGAAAACAAAGAGAAAACAGUAGAAGAAGGGGAAAUCCUACCAGCAUCUUCAAGGGAUACUAUAGCAUUAACUACAUACUGACUAUCAGAAAAUAAAUUAAAUACAAAUCUUUAAACAUCAUAAAAGCUUGUAAUACUGCAUUAAGCUCUACCUUUUGAGCUGAUUGUUUGGGUACUAAAAAUUUAAAAGUUUGAUCAGGGGUAACUACUGCUACUGUACCAUUAUUUGACCCAUCAGUGAAUAUAUUUGGAGCAUUCAUGAUAGGGGUUUUUCUUGUCAUUUUAGGAAAAACUACAGGAUGCUUAGACCAAAAAGACAACAAAGGAUUAGAUGGUAAAUGAUUAUCAAAUGAAACAUUAGAUUUACACAUGAUUAUUGCCCAAGUAUUUAACUCAUUAGCUAACUCAUCAAUUUGAUCCAUAGUAUAUGGAGUAAUACUUUUAUUGGGAGAAAUCCCAAACACUCCCUUGGCUGCUUUUAUUCCUUUGAGUAUUAAUUGUCCUACAGCCUCAGGAUAUCUAGUAAGAAUAGUGUUAGGAGAAUAAGAUAAAUGUAUCCACAAUAAUUGACCUUCUUGCCAGAAUACUCCUGUAGGAAUAUUUUUUGUUGGCAGUACAAUAAAUAAUAAAGGCAAACUUAUAUCAAUUCUAUCCAAAUGCAUAUUUUCCAUAUAUGUUUCAAUGAUUUUUAAUACCUUUCUUGCUUCAGGCGUCAACAUGCGGGGUGAAUUUGGAUCUGAUGGACCUUUUAGAAUAUCAAAUAAAGGUCCCAACUCUCCUGUUGGUAUGCCUAGAUAAGGCCUUAUCCAAUUUAUGUCUCCUAAUAACUUUUGAAAGUCGUUAAGUGAUUUGAGUUGAUCUACUCAUAUUUGAAUUUUUGGUGGACGGACCAUGGUUGAGGAUAAUAAAACCCCUAAAUAAUUAAUUGGAAGAUUUAAUUGUACUUUAUUUAUUGCUAUCUCUAGAUUAUAAUUUUUUAAUAAAUUUGUAAGUGUGGCGUAACAUUCUAGCAAUGUGUUUUUAUCUUUAUGUGCCAAUAACACAUUAUCCAUAUAGUGAAAUAUUUGUAGUUCAGGAUUUUGAUUUCUAAGUGGCUGGAUUGCUUUGUUAACAUAAAUUUGACACAUAGUUGGACUAUUAGCCAUCCCUUCAGGGAGUACUUUCCAUUCAUAUCUCUGAUCAGGACCUUCAUGAUUUAGUGCAGGGAUAGUAAAUGCAAAAUGUGGACUAUCCUCGGGAUGAAUUGGAAUUGAAAAAAAAACAAUCUUUAAUAUCUAUAGCUAAAACAUACCAGGUUUUUGGUAAAGCAGACAAUUGGGGAAUCCCUGAUUGAGCAGGUCCCAUAAUAACCAUCUCAUUAUUAAUGGCUCUUAAAUCUUGCAAUAAUCUCCAUUUACCAGAUUUCUUUUUAAUGACAAAAAUGGGAGUAUUAUGGGGAGAUACGGAAGGUUGUAUAUGUCCCUCUACUAAUUGUUGUUUGACCAGGUCAUGGGCUAUUUGUAUCUUUUUUUUAGUCAGGGGCCACUGAGGAACCCACACUGGUCUUUCUGAUUUCCAAGUAAUUUUUAUUGUCUCAGUGGCCCUUUCUGAAAACCCAAUCCAUGUCUAUUUGUUUCUUGAUCUAUUUGAAUUGGUGCUGUCAUACCUUGUUCUUGUUCUCUUAAUCUUUCUUCUUUCCUAAAGCCUUGUCUAGCCCUAGUAGUGGGCGCAUUAGGAUUGAUGUUAUUUGUUAAUGUCAAACCUAAUUGAUCUAGGACAUCUCGUCCCCAUAAAUUUAUAGGAAGAUGAUCCAAUACAUAGGGCUGUAUAGUUCCUU
rnacentral:lncRNA from 1 species